rnacentral:pre_miRNA from 1 species
CAUGCAUGGAGGGGGGUCCCUCAGCCCGGCCUGCACCCUCUUGCAAUCCGGGACCCCUCACUCGAUGUCAGAGAGCCGGUUUCAGCCUGAUCCUGCAGGCCAGGCCGAGGGACCCCACUUGUGCACG